UACGUAGGGUGCAAGCGUUGUCCGGAAUUAUUGGGCGUAAAGAGCGCGCAGGCGGUCGUACAAGUCGCGUGUGAAAGCCCCUGGCUCAACUGGGGAGGGUCACGCGAUACUGUUCGACUCGAAGGCAGGAGAGGGAAGUGGAAUUCCCGGUGUAGUGGUGAAAUGCGUAGAUAUCGGGAGGAACACCAGUGGCGAAGGCGACUUCCUGGCCUGUUCUUGACGCUGAGGCGCGAAAGCUAGGGUAGCAAACGGG
rnacentral:rRNA from 1 species